AAUACAUCUGAAUACAUAAAUUAUAUUAAUUAAAAACAAACAUAUGAAUACAUUCAUGAAAUAUAACGAGACAGUGAAUACAAUGAAAUACAUAUAAUGCAACGGGAUACAUUGAAAUACAAUGAAAAAAAAGACAAUGAAUACAAUGAGAUACAACGAGAUACAUUGAAAUACAAUGGAAAAAAAAGACAAUGAAUACGAUGAAAUACAGUGAGAUACAUUGAAAUAUAUUAACAGAAAAUUCAAGUUGCUCAGCCCCCAACUUCGUCGUUUUUGUUCAAGAACAACCCUAAUGUCGUCUCGUUGAAGCAACAUCAGUAUUCCGUCCUCGCUCGCCGUCACCGUUGCCUCCGGUUGCCUUAGUUAACUCCAACUUAUUUGAAAUUAGGCAUAACAGUAAUAGUUAUUGCUGUAAUAUCUAAUUUUGUACGAGAGCAGAUGUGUUGACCCUCAUAUUCCACAACCAAUAUUUUGCCUUUUUCUAGGAUGGACGAUGGAGCGAAUAAUGGUUUUUUUUCUGAAAAAGAAAAAAUAAAGAACAGAAAAGUUGAUCCCCAAGAAAUUUCAGAGAAAUAGGGUAGAAUUUAGAAGGAUAGAUGACCAUAAUUCCUAUCACGCCUGGAAUGUGUAUACUUCUAGCAAAAGCAGGUAAAUGAAAUGGCCUCUGUUUCCACAAGUCCUGUUCCAAUCAAACCAUCUAUAUUUUGCAGAAAUGGGCUCUUUCCAUUCACUCUCCAAAAUUUACACUCUCAAAAUCAACUUUGCUUUCUAAUAUUUUGUUAACGUAUAUAUCAUUGACAAAUUGCUUCCGAUUUGCUUAUUAGAUAAGGAUCUGAACUUUCCAGCUAAAACCGUACUAAUUGUGUUUUCUUGUAGUGUAUAGAUCUUAAAACACAGCUGAGAUAUUUCAAGAAAGAGAAGAUAUGAGAUCGGGAAGUAGAGAAAGGGAGAAUAAAUACGGGGUAGAGGAUAAGAGAAAUUUGAAAGGAUAUGAGAGAGAAAAAUAAUGCUCCCUCCGUUUCAUAUUAAAUGAGGUACUUUCCUUUUUAGUCUGUUCCAAAACAAAUGAUACAUUUCCGAAUUUGGAAAUAAUUCGACUUUAAACUCUUUCAUUUUACUCAUUUACCCUUAAUGAGAAGCUUUUAUAGUCACACAAAUAUCAUGGCCCCACAAACUUUUUACCCCUUAAGCUUUUAAGACCACAAGUUUCAAAAGUCUUCUUCUUUUUUCUUAAACUCUGUGCCGAGUCAAACUACCUCAUAUAAUAUGAAACAGAGGGAGUAUAAAGCUUAUUUUAUGGCUCAAGAGUAGGAGGUGUCCAUAAAUAGAUAUUUGGCUAUAAAAAAUCAAAAAGUAAUUAUGGAAUAUAAUUUUUUAAAAGGUAUUUAUUUAAAAUAAAUAAGGUAUCAGCCUUUGUUAUAGGAGGUAACUAAUCCUAUGAAAUACUACACUAUAAAAGAUAAAGAGGAUGUUUGGCUAAGCUUAUAAGUUGGUCAAACUAGCUUAUAAGCACUUUUCGACUUAUUUACAUAUUUGGUAAAAUUAAAAUUGUUUGUAAGUCAAAAAUAAGCCAAAAGCCAUAAGCUAGUCACCCUCAGCUUAUGAAUUUUUAACUUAUAAGCAUUUUAAGUUUGACCAAGAUUUUUACUAUUUUAUCCUUAAAAUAUUUCUUUUUAAAACAAAACUCCUACAUCGAUACUCACUGCCUCAACCUAACCCCUCCCCCCUCCCAACAUCUUCAACUCUUCAAUUCUCACUUACUAUUUAAGAUAAGCAAAUUCUCUAUUCCUUUGCAUACUUAUAUCUACGUGAUCGUGUAUUAAUCUUUGAACGAUAUGUAAUAAAUGAGGAAACAUCAAAAUUUUUGUGUAUUGCUUUCUAAAUGUUGUGGUGAUGAAGAUAAUGUUUUUCUCUUCAAUUAAUUUGUUCUAUUUAGGUUUAUUUUUUACUAAGAGACUUUUAUCAAUUUAUUAAUUAUUAUAACUUAUGAUUAUAUGCUUAUCAUAUAAUAAAUUUUAUUUUUCAUAAAAAUUAUCUUAUCUAAGCACAAUUAUAUUUAAAAUAAAAUGGCAAAUAGAAUAUUUUGUAUUUGAAACGAUCUGGAAUCUAAAAUUUUGAAAAAAUUACACACCUAUAAAUGUAAAUAAUUCUUAGGUUAUUUAAGUCAUUUUAACAGAAAAAGAGCUUAUCAACAUUUUUUUAAUCAAAUAUUGCAACAACUUAUUGUAAAUUUCAGUACUUGUACCCAAACACGUAAUUGUUUAUUUAUUAAAUCAGUUUCAACACGUAAAAAUGCUUUUCGACACAUAAUAUUUGUUAGCUACUUUAAAUCAGCUAAUCCAAACCGGCUCAAACAGCUAUCAAGAUGUUUCAAAAAAAUAUUGUGUAUAUUUUAUUUUCACCUUAGAGGUGCACCAUCUAAAUAAGAAUGAUGCAUGUGUGACAGUGAGAUAAUUUUGAAUACAACUAUGGAUUAGGAUUGCUGUUGUUAAAGAUGAAUUACAUUCCAAUCCGGACUAUGCUAUUAAGGAUAAACUGAUAAAUCAAUAUGUUUAACACAAGUUUCAUAUAUAUAUUUUAUUUUACUUUAUGUUAUUAUCAAAGUCACUAGAGGAAGGGACUGAUUGAACUAAUUCAACCAUUCAAUAUAAAUGAUGUUUAUUUAAACAGUGACUUGUGAUCUACAAAUUAGUACUACUGAUUAAUAAAUAUUGCAAACUUUUCCAACACUAACUACCUAAUAAGAGUAUUAAAUUGCAAAUUAGUUGUUUAGUCCGUAUUGCACAGUGCUAGGGCUCAAACUUGUGAUCUUAAGUCACAGAUUCUCCCAAAAUCUUGCCACUUAGAACUAAAUUGCAAAUUAGCUUUACAACGAGCAAAGCAAAUUAUUGGAAGGGAUAAAAUACAGAACAAGCCAGAACCUAAAUUAUGCUUAAAAAAUUAAAAAUUAAAAAAAAGCAAUUGGAGGCAUCAGUUUUAAAAAGCUCGAAUUUUGGAUCAUCACAGAUUGAUCAGUCCAAAUAAUUAUAAAUCAUCAUCUGCCUCUUAUUAUAUACCAAAACAAAAAAUUGUAAAACAACAAAUGUUAUCAAAGAAAUGAACUUUAAAUUUAGGACUUGGUCAAUAAUAAAUUAUAAAUAUUGAAUGUUUGAAAGAACCUAUAGAAAAGGAACAGAAGAGAGGAAUGAAAUAGUUCAAACCCCUCAAACUAAUUCAUUAAAGAAUCAAUCUUUGAUACUUUUCAGCUCAAAGAUUUGCUUUCUAUUACUAUAUGCCCCUGUCUGAACCGAAUGACUUUUUCAGUAACUCAAUCGGGAAUUCUUGAGGCAAAAACAAUCAAUUCAUAUACCCUUUUGGAUUUCAUUAAGAAAAAAAUGAAACAUACACAAGAUUUGAAGAGGGGAUUAAACAGAGUGUUCAAAAGAUGCUUACAGGACAAUUGAUGAAGAAGAACAAAGAGUCCCUUCAAAGAUUGAAUCUUUGCAUCAAAAAGGUUUAGUCUCUGCCCCCUAACUAAGCCAAAUAUGAAAUAGCUAAAAUUUGUCCAUAUGGCUACUCAAAGAGGCAUUUUGGUAACAACAAUUAUUAGUCCAUAAAACAUACUGCAAAUUCCUUACAUGCAGAAGAAAAGAAGAAGAGAGCAAAGUGAAACUAAUACUGUGAUAUUGCUGCUGAAUGGUAGGUACAAUAUGAUGAUUUAAGGAGGGGUUUUAGGGUUUCAUCAGCGGAGCCUGGAGUAUAUAAUUCACUUUUUUGUCCAUAAAGUUUGGUCUUUGAUGUGAUAUGGCCCCAAGAGUUUUGUCUCUGUCAAUAAUAUAUCCUCAAA
rnacentral:lncRNA from 1 species